rnacentral:rRNA from 1 species
CCUACGGGUGGCUGCAGUAAGGAAUAUUGGUCAAUGGACGCAAGUCUGAACCAGCCAUGCCGCGUGGAGGAUGAAGGUCCUCUGGAUUGUAAACUUCUUUUAUUUGGGAAGAAACUCCCGAUUUCCAUCGGGAUUGACGGUACCAGAUGAAUAAGCACCGGCUAACUCCGUGCCAGCAGCCGCGGUAAUACGGAGGGUGCCGGCGUUACUGGGAUUCACUGGUGCUAAAGGGUGCAGGUAUGUGCAGGGAGAAAUGUCCGGGCUUAACCCGGAAACUGCCAUUGAUACUAUUUGUCUUGAAUACUCUGGAGGUGAGCGGAAUAUGUCAUGUAGCGGUGAAAUGCUUAGAUAUGACAUAGAACACCCAUUGCGAAGGCAGCUCACUACGGAAAUAUUGACGCUGAGGCACGAAAGCGUGGGGAUCAAACAGGAUUAGAUACCCCAGUAGUC